UACGGAGGGUGCAAGCGUUAUCCGGAUUCACUGGGUUUAAAGGGUGCGUAGGUGGGCAGGUAAGUCAGUGGUGAAAUCUCCGGGCUUAACCCGGAAACUGCCGUUGAUACUAUUUGUCUUGAAUAUUGUGGAGGUAAGCGGAAUAUGUCAUGUAGCGGUGAAAUGCUUAGAUAUGACAUAGAACACCAAUUGCGAAGGCAGCUUACUACACAAUUAUUGACGCUGAGGCACGAAAGCGUGGGGAGCAAACAGG
rnacentral:rRNA from 1 species